rnacentral:rRNA from 1 species
GACGAACGCUGGCGGCGUGCUUAACACAUGCAAGUCGAACGAGAAUCUGCGGAAAGAGGAUUCGUCCAAUUGAAGCAGAGGACAGUGGCGGACGGGUGAGUAACGCGUGAGGAACCUGCCUUUCAGAGGGGGACAACAGUUGGAAACGACUGCUAAUACCGCAUAACAUAUAGAUGUCGCAUGGCAUUUAUAUCAAAGAUUUAUCGCUGAAAGAUGGCCUCGCGUCUGAUUAGCUAGUUGGUGAGGUAACGGCCCACCAAGGCGACGAUCAGUAGCCGGACUGAGAGGUUGAACGGCCACAUUGGGACUGAGAUACGGCCCAGACUCCUACGGGAGGCAGCAGUGGGGAAUAUUGGGCAAUGGGCGCAAGCCUGACCCAGCAACGCCGCGUGAAGGAAGAAGGCUUUCGGGUUGUAAACUUCUUUUGUCAGGG